UUCAUCCGGCUGUCGGCGCAGUUCGGUGUCUUCGGGUGUCUGAGCUGGGAGCGUUUGGUCCCUCGCGGGGAGGUGUUCCGUAAUGGCUCGGCCUCCGGAAAGAGCUUCAGUGUACUUUUCACCUUGACAGUUGGGCCGCCACCGGGAUCUGCAGCCAUUUAAACACGCUUUCCCGCACCUGUGCACGUAAAUUAUGAAAGUUGAUCCUUCUGAUGUCCCACGCACCCCAAAAAGUUCUCCCGGGAUGGCCUUCCGGACUGCUGCUGGAUGCAGUGAUGUCCCUGGCGCCGCUCAGUCUAGCAGCUGCGCAGGCUGUCUUAGCCAAUAAAGCUGGUGUUAGAACUGCAAAAGCCACGGGGGGUGGGGGGGCGGCUAUCUUGCGUUUCCUGUGGUUGCACCAAACUGUAUAUUAGUAGAGGUAAUGGCAUUAACAUGCUUUUCGUCUGCACACCCUAUGUAUGAUACAAGCCUCUUAUGAAGCAGUCCGGGAUUCAGACCCAGGAUGAGGAACAGAAGACGGUCUGUGUUGGCAGAGAAGAGGACAUUAGGAGGUCAGAGAGAAUGACAGCUGUUGUCCAUGGCAGAGAAGUGGUCAUUUUCUACCACAAGGGGGAAUAUCAUGCAAUGGACAUUCGCUGCUACCAUUCUGGAGGACCCUUGCACUUGGGAGAAAUUGAGGAUUUCAAUGGACAAUCAUGUAUAGUUUGCCCGUGGCAUAAAUACAAAAUCACUUUGGCAACAGGAGAAGGAUUAUACCAGUCUAUAGAUCCUAAAGACCCAUCAGCAAAACCCAAGUGGUGCUCCAAAGGAGUAAAGCAAAGGAUUCACAUUGUGACGGUGAAGAAUGGCAACAUUUAUGUGACGCUUUCUAAGGAACCUUUCAAAUGUGACUCUGACUAUUAUGCCACUGGAGAAUUCAAAGUGAUUCAGAGUUCUUCCUGAUAAAACAUGUACAGCAGCCAAAAAAUGCUGACAUGAUAGUACUGGCUGAUUGUCACAGCUACUCAGACCAGCCUGGAAGGAACGGAACAAGGUGGCAUUUUUGCUUUUCUCAUUCCACAGAGACCCAGGAGAAAGGAGACAGAAGUGACCCUCAACAUAGCUGCUGAAAGUAAAGUGAGGUUCCAGCAAGGAAUCACAUCCCAAGUCUAAGCCCUAACUGGACCAGUGAGCUGUGCUGCUGGAAGGCUUUGCUCAUCCAAGUGGAUAGUAGUACCUGGAGCUAGAAUCGUUUACGUCAAGCUUUUGCUAGGAAGACAAGAGCAUGCUUACAGUACUUCGUGGAACUCCUGUACAAAGAGAAUAAUAAAUGACUUGACAGACAUUAGUAUCUCAUGCACAUGAGAAAGAAUGACAUUAGAGCUGUAUGCCUAGCAAAUGGGAAAACUGAAAAGAAAAGUGAGCCAAAGUAAUCUCUACUGGUGGGAGUGCAGAGCAUGGACUCCUCCUUCAUAAGGAUGAGGUCAGUGCUGAGGAGGGUAUGAGAUUUUCGGGGCAUGGCUACCAUAAAUUGUCAAUUUAUGAAAAUUCAUUGAAUUACACAUUAAGUGGUUUGCAUACUUUUUGAUUAUAUAGCUCUGUUAGUUUUGAUUUAGAAUUUAAUGAUUCUAUCUGGAUUUUUUUCUUUUUCUUUCUUUUUUUUUUUAUUAUUAACUUGAGUAUUUCUUAUAUACAUUUCGAGUGUUAUUCCCUUUCCCGGUUUCCGGGCAAACACCGCCCUCCCCCCUCCCCUUCCUUAUGGGUGUUCCCCUCCCAACCCUCCCCCCAUUGCCGCCCUCCCCCCAUAGACUAGUUCACUGGGGGAUCAGUCUUAGCAGGACCCAGGGCUUCCCCUUCCACUGGUGCUCUUACUAGGAUAUUCAUUGCUACCUAUGAGGUCAGAGUCCAGGGUCAGUCCAUGUAUAGUCUUUAGGUAGUGGCUUAGUCCCUGGAAGCUCUGGUUGCUUGACAUUGUUGUACUUUUGGGGUCUCGAGCACCUUCAAGCUCUUCCAGUUCUUUCUCUGAUUCCUUCAACGGGGGACCUAUUCUCAGUUCAGUGGUUUGCUGCUGGCAUUCGCCUCUGUGUUUGCUGUAUUCUGGCUGUGUCUCUCAGGAGCGAUCUCCAUCCGGCUCCUGUCGGUCUGCACUUCUUUGCUUCAUCCAUCUUGUCUAAUUGGGUGGCUGUAUAUGUAUGGGCCACAUGUGGGGCAGGCUCUGAAUGGGUGUUCCUUCUGUCUCUGUUUUAAACUUUGCCUCUUUAUUCCCUGUCAAGGAUAUUCUUGUUCCCCUUUUAAAGAAGGAGUGAAGCAUUCACGUUUUGAUGAUCUGUCUUGAGUUUCAUGUGUUCUGUGCAUCUAGGGUAAUUCAAGCAUUUGGGCUAAUAGCCACUUAUCAAUGAGUGCAUACCGUGUGUGUUUUUCUGUGAUUGGGUUACCUCACUCAGGAUGAUAUUUUCCAGUUCCAACCAUUUGUCUAUGAAUUUCAUAAUGUCAUUGUUUUUGAUAACUGAGUAAUAUUCCAUUGUGUAGAUGUACCACAUUUUGUGUAUCCAUUCCUCUGUUGAAGGGCAUCUGGGUUCUUUCCAGCUUCUGGCUAUUAUAAAUAAGGCUGCUAUAAACAUAGUGGAGCACGUGUCUUUUUUAUACAUUGGGGCAUCUUUUGGGUAUAUGCCCAAGAGAGGUAUAGCUGGAUCCUCAGGCAGUUCAAUGUCCAAUUUUCUGAGGAACCUCCAGACUGAUUUCCAGAAUGGUUGUACCAGUCUGCAAUCCCACCAACAAUGGAGGAGUGUUCCUCUUUCUCCGCAUCCUCGCCAGCAUCUGCUGUCACCUGAGUUUUUGAUCUUAGCCAUUCUCACUGGUGUGAGGUGGAAUCUCAGGGUUGUUUUGAUUUGCAUUUCCCUUAUGACUAAAGAUGUUGAACAUUUCUUUAGGUGUUUCUCAGCCAUUCGGCAUUCCUCAGCUGUGAAUUCUUUCUUUAGCUCUGAACCCCAUUUUUUAAUAGGGUUAUUUGUCUCCCUACGGUCUAACUUCUUGAGUUCGUUGUAUAUUUUGGAUAUAAGGCCUCUAUCUGUUGUAGGAUUGGUAAAGAUCUUUUCCCAAUCUGUUGGUUGCCGUUUUGUCCUAGCCACAGUGUCCUUUGCCUUACAGAAGCUUUGCAGUUUUAUGAGAUCCCAUUUGUCGAUUCUUGAUCUUAGAGCAUAAGCCAUUGUUGUUUUGUUUAGGAAAAUUUUUCCAGUGCCCAUGUGUUCCAGAUGCUUCCCUAGUUUUUCUUCUAUUAGUUUGAGUGUGUCUGGUUUGAUGUGGAGGACCUUGAUCCACUUGGACUUAAGCUUUGUACAGGGUGAUAAGCAUGGAUCGAUCUGCAUUCUUCUACAUGUUGACCUCCAGUUGAACCAGCACCAUUUGCUGAAAAUGCUAUCUUUUUUCCAUUGGAGGGUUUUGGCUCCUUUGUCAAAAAUCAAGUGCCCAUAGGUGUGUGGGUUCAUUUCUGGGUCUUCACUUCUAUUCCACUGGUCUAUCUGUCUGUCUCUGUACCAAUACCAUGCAGUUUUUAUCACUAUUGCUCUGUAAUACUGCUUGAGUUCAGGGAUAGUAAUUCCCCCUGAAGUCCUUUUAUUGUUGAGGAUAGUUUUAGCUAUCCUGGGUUUUUUGUUAUUCCAGAUGAAUUUGCAAAUUGUUCUGUCUAACUCUUUGAAGAAUUGGAUUGGUAUUUUGAUGGGGAUUGCAUUGAAUCUGUAGAUCGCUUUUGGUAAAAUGGCCAUUUUUACUAUAUUAAUCCUGCCAAUCCAUGAUCAUGGGAGAUCUUUCCAUCUUCUGAGGUCUUCUUCAAUUUCUUUCUUCAGUGUCUUGAAGUUCUUAUUGUACACAUCUUUUACUUGCUUGGUUAAAGUCACACCAAGGUACUUUAUAUUAUUUGGGUCUAUUAUGAAGGGUGUCGUUUCCCUAAUUUCUUUCUCGGCUUGUUUCUCUUUUGUGUAGAGGAAGGCUACUGAUUUAUUUGAGUUAAUUUUAUACCCAGUCACUUUGCUGAAGUUGUUUAUCAGCUUUAGUAGUUCUCUGGUGGAACUUUUGGGAUCAUUUAAAUAUACUAUCAUAUCAUCUGCAAAUAGUGAUAUUUUGACUUCUUCUUUUCCGAUCUGUAUCCCCUUGACCUCCUUUUGUUGUCUGAUUGCUCUGGCUAGAACUUCAAGAACUAUAUUGAAUAAGUAGGGAGAGAGUGGGCAGCCUUGUCUAGUCCCUGAUUUUAGUGCGAUUGUUUCAAGUUUCUCUCCAGUUACUUUAAUGUUAGCAACUGGUUUGCUGUAUAUGGCUUUUACUAUGUUUAGGUAUGGGCCUUGAAUUCCUAUUCUUUCCAGGACUUUUAUCAUGAAGGGGUGUUGAAUUUUGUCAAAUGCUUUCUCAGCAUCUAAUGAAAUGAUCAUGUGGUUCUGUUCUUUCAGUUUGUUUAUAUAAUGGAUCACGUUGAUGGUUUUCCGUAUAUUAAACCAUCCCUGCAUGCCUGGGAUGAAGCCUACUUGAUCAUGGUGGAUGAUUGUUUUGAUGUGCUCUUGGAUUCGGUUUGCCAGAAUUUUAUUGAGUAUUUUUGAGUCGAUAUUCAUAAGGGAAAUUGGUCUGAAGUUCUCUUUCUCUGUUGGGUCUUUGUGUGGUUUAGGUGUAAGAGUAAUUGUGGCUUCAUAGAAGGAAUUCGGUAGUGCUCCAUCUGUUUCAAUUUUGUGGAAUAGUUUGGAUAAUAUUGGUAUGAGGUCUUCUAUGAAGGUCUGAUAGAAUUCUGCACUAAACCCGUCUGGACCUGGGCUCUUUUUGGUUGGGAGACCUUUAAUGACUGCUUCUAUUUCCUUAGGAGUUAUGGGGUUGUUUAACUGGUUUAUCUGUUCCUGAUUUAACUUCGGUACCUGGUAUCAGUCCAGGAAAUUGUCCAUUUCCUGCAGAUUUUCAAGUUUUGUUGAAUAUAGGCUUUUAUAGUAAGAUCUCAUGAUUUUUUGUAUUUCCUCUGAAUCUGUAGUUAUGUCUCCCUUUUCAUUUCUGAUUUUGUUAAUUUGGACACACUCUCUGUGUCCUCUCGUUAGUCUGGCUAAGGGUUUAUCUAUCUUGUUGAUUUUCUCAAAGAACCAACUUUUGGUUCUGUUGAUUCUUUCUAUGGUCCUUUUUGUUUCUACUUGGCUGAUUUCAGCUCUGAGUUUGAUUAUUUCCUGUCUUCUACUCCACCUGGGUGUAUUUGCUUCUUUUUGUUCUAGAGCUUUUAGGUAUGCUGUCAAGCUGCUGACAUAUGCUCUCUCCUGUUUCUUUCUGCAGGCACUCAGAGCUAUGAGUUUUCCUCUUAGCACAGCUUUCAUUGUGUCCCAUAAGUUUGGGUAUGUUGUACCUUCAUUUUCAUUAAAUUCUAAAAAGUCUUUUAUUUCUUUCUUUAUUUCUUCCUUGACCAGGUUAUUGUUGAGUAGAGCUUUGUUCAAUUUCCAAGUAUAUGUGGGCAUUCUUCCCUUAUUGUUAUUGAAGACCAGCUUUAGGCCGUGGUGGUCUGAUAGCACGCAUGGGAUUAUUUCUAUCUUUCUAUACCUGUUGAGGCCCGUUUUUUGACCAAUUAUAUGUUCAGUUUUGGAGAAAGUGCCAUGAGGAGCUGAGAAGAAGGUAUAUCCUUUUGCUUUAGGAUAGAAUGUUCUAUAAAUAUCUGUUAAGUCCAUUUGGUUCAUGACUUCUCUCAGUCUGUCUACGUCUCUGUUUAAUUUCUGUUUCCAUGAUCUGUCCAUUGAUGAGAGUGGGGUGUUGAAAUCUCCCACUAUUAUUGUGUGAGGUGCAAUGUGUGUUUUGAGCUUUAGUAAGGUUUCUUUUACGUAUGUAGGUGCCCUUGUAUUUGGGGCAUAGAUAUUUAGGAUUGAGAGUUCAUCUUGGUGGAUUUUUCCUUUGAUGAAUAUGAAGUGUCCUUCCUUAUCUUUUUUGAUGACUUUUAGUUGGAAAUUGAUUUUAUUUGAUAUUAGAAUGGCUACUCCAGCUUGCUUCUUCUGACCAUUUGCUUGGAAAGUUGUUUUCCAGGCUUUCGCUCUGAGGUAGUGUCUGUCUUUGUCUCUGAGGUGUGUUUCCUGUAGGCAGCAGAAUGCAGGGUCCUCGUUGCGUAUCCAGUUUUUUAAUCUAUGUCUUUUUAUUGGGGAGUUGAGGCCAUUGAUGUUGAGAGAUAUUAAGGAAUAGUGAUUAUUGCUUCCUGUUAUAUUCAUAUUUGGAUGUGAGGUUAUGUUUGUGUGCUUUUCUUCUCUUUGUUUUGUUGCCAAGACGAUUAGUUUCUUGCUUCUCCUAGGGUAUAGCUUGCCUCCUUAUGUUGGGCUUUACCAUUUAUUAUCCUUUGUAGUUCUGGAUUUGUAGAAAGAUAUUGUGUAAAUUUGGUUUUGUCAUGGAAUAUCUUGGUUUCUCCAUCUAUGUUAAUUGAGAGUUUUGCAGGAUACAGUAACCUGGGCUGGCAUUUGUGUUCUCUUAGGGUCUGUAUGACAUCAGUCCAGGAUCUUCUGGCCUUCAUAGUUUCUGGCGAAAAGUCUGGUGUGAUUCUGAUAGGUCUGCCUUUAUAUGUUACUUGACCUUUUUCCCUUACUGCUUUUAAUAUUCUUUCUUUAUUUUGUGCAUUUGGUGUUUUGACUAUUAUGUGACGGGAGGUGUUUCUUUUCUGGUCCAAUCUAUUUGGAGUUCUGUAGGCUUCUUGUAUGCCUAUGGGUAUCUCUUUUUUUAGGUUAGGGAAGUUUUCUUCUAUGAUUUUGUUGAAGAUAUUUACUGGUCCUUUGAGCUGGGAGUCUUUACUCUCUUCUAUACCUAUUAUCCUUAGGUUUGAUCUUCUCAUUGAGUCCUGGAUUUCCUGUAUGUUUUGGACCAGUAGCUUUUUCCGCUUUACAUUUUCUUUGACAGUUGAGUCAAUGAUUUCUAUGGAAUCUUCCGCUCCUGAGAUUCUCUCUUCCAUCUCUUGUAUUCUGUUGGUGAAGCUUAUAUCUAUAGCUCCUUUUCUCUUCCUUUGGUUUUCUAUAUCCAGGGUUGUUUCCAUGUGUUCUUUCUUGAUUGCUUCUAUUUCCAUUUUCAAUUCCUUCAACUCUUUGAUUGUAUUUUCCUGGAAUUCUUUCUGGGAUUUUUGUGUCUUCUCUCUAUGGGCUUCUACUUGUUUAUUUCUUUUUUCCUGGAAUUCUUCCAGGCAUUUUUGCGAUUCCUCUCUGUAGGCUUCUACUUGUUUAUUAAUGUUUUCCUGUGUUUCUCUAAGGGAGUUCUUCACGUCUUUCUUGAAGUCCUCCAGCAUCAUGAUCAAAUAUGAUUUUGAAACUAGAUCUUGCUUUUCUGGUGUGUUUGGAUAUUCCAUGUUUGUUUUGAUGGGAGAAUUGGGCUCCGAUGGUGCCAUGUAGUCUUGGUUUCUGUUGCUUGGUUUCCUGUGCUUGCCUCUCGCCAUCAGAUUAUCUCUAAUGUUACUUUGUUCUGCUAUUUCUGACAGUGGCUAGACUGUCGUAUAAGCCUGUGUGUCAGGAGUGCUGUAGACCUGUUUUCCUGUUUUCUUUCAGCCUGUUAUGGGGACAGAGUGUUCUGCUUUCGGGCGUGCAGUUUUUCCUCUCUACAGGUCUUCAGUUGUUCCUGUGGGCCUGUGUCUUGAGUUCACCAGGCAGGUCACUUGCAGCAGAAAAGUUGGUCUUACCUGUGGUCCCGAGGCUCAAGUUCGCUCAUGGGGUGCUGCCCACGAGCUCUCUGCCGCGGCAGCAACCAGGAAGAUCUGCACUGCCAUUUCUGGGAGCUUCAGUGCACCAGGGUUCCAGAUGGUGUUUGGUGUUUUCCUCUGGAAUCAGUAAUGUGUGCAGAGUGCAGUCUCUUCUGGUUUCCCAGGCCUGUCUGCCUCUCUGAAGGUUUAGCUCUCCCUCCCAUGGGAUUUGGGUGCAGAGAACUGUUUAUCUGGUCUGUUCCUUCAGGUUCCAGCGGUGUCUCACACGGUGGCUCUUAACUGGCUGUAAAUCCUGGACCAGGGAUGCUAGCGCCCUCCCGUUUUUUUGUUUUUUGUUUUUUUUUUUAUGUAUUAAAAAUACAACUAGCUUUUUACAGGAAAAAUUGUCAGAAAUACACUAAAAUUGUAGUAAAAGCUUUUUGUAAUAAAAGUUGUUUGAAAAGUACAA